rnacentral:rRNA from 1 species
AGAUUGAACGCUGGCGGCAUGCCUAACACAUGCAAGUCGAACGGGAGUAGCAAUACUCUAGUGGCGGACGGGUGAGGAAUACGUAGGAAUUUGCCCUUAAGUGGGGGAUAACCCGGGGAAACCCGGAUUAAUACCGCAUGACCUCGAAAGAGCAAAGUGGGGGAUCGCAAGACCUCACGCUUUUGGAGAAGCCUACGUCGGAUUAGCUAGUUGGUGAGGUAAUGGCUCACCAAGGCGACGAUCCGUAACUGGUCUGAGAGGACUGAUCAGUCACACCGGAACUGAGACACGGUCCGGACUCCUACGGGAGGCAGCAGUGGGGAAUAGUGGACAAGUGGGCGACAAGCCUGAUCCAGCAAGUGCCG